UACGUAGGGUGCGAGCGUUGUCCGGAAUCACUGGGCGUAAAGGGCGCGUAGGCGGCUGGGGAAGUCGGCGGUGAAAGCCCGGAGCUCAACUCCGGGUCGGCCGUCGAGACUCCUCGGCUCGAGCUCACUAGAGGCAGAUGGAAUUCCGGGUGUAGCGGUGGAAUGCGUAGAGAUCCGGAAGAACACCGGUGGCGAAGGCGGUCUGCUGGGGUGAGGCUGACGCUGAUGCGCGACAGCGUGGGGAGCAAACAGG
rnacentral:rRNA from 1 species